AACGAACGCUGGCGGCAGGCCUAACACAUGCAAGUCGAACGCGCGUAGCAAUACGCGAGUGGCGCACGGGUGAGUAAUACGUGGGAAUCAACCCAGAGGUUCGGAAUAACCGCGGGAAACUGCGGCUAAUACCGGAUGUCCCCCAUGGGGGAAAGAUUUAUCGCCUUUGGACGAGCCCACGUCCGAUUAGCUUGUUGGUGAGGUAACGGCUCACCAAGGCAACGAUCGGUAGCUGGUCUGAGAGGACGACCAGCCACACUGGAACUGAGACACGGUCCAGACUCCUACGGGAGGCAGCAGUGGGGAAUAUUGGGCAAUGGAGGCAACUCUGACCCAGCCAUGCCGCGUGGGUGACGAAGGUCUUCGGAUUGUAAAGCCCUUUCGGCGGGGACGAUGAUGACGGUACCCGCAGAAGAAGCCCCGGCUAACUUCGUGCCAGCCGCCGCCGUAACAC
rnacentral:rRNA from 1 species